ACCCGGGUCCUGCGCGGCAGGAAUUCCGAACCGUGUCAGGACCGGAAGGUAGCAGCACUAAGGAUACUCUCCUGGGUGCCGCAGGGAAGCCUGGGUUUG
rnacentral:SRP_RNA from 1 species